UUAAGUUCAGCGGGUAUUCCUGCCUGAUCCGAGGUCAACGUUCAGAAGGUCGGGGGUUUUACGGCGUGGCCGCGUCGGGCUCCCGGUGCGAGGUAGUUGUACUGCGCAGAGGUCGCCGCGGACGGACCGCCACUCCAUUUCGGGGCCGGCGCGCCUGGGCUGGCGGCCGAUCCCCAAGGCCGGCCACGCCCCGCGAGGGG
rnacentral:misc_RNA from 1 species